rnacentral:rRNA from 1 species
AUUAGACAGUACUGGUGGGGGGUGGAGAAAGGGAAGAGGAAAAUGGCAUGGCUCAGCUGGGAGAAAAUGAAGCUUCCAGAAGCCAUGGGUGGUAUGGGCUUUAGGGAUAUGAGAGCUUUCAAUCAAGCUCUUCUUGCUAAACAGGCCUGGAGACUCAUUGAUACACCGGAUAGUCUUUGUGCAAGAUUGUUGAAGGCAAAGUACUAUGCUGCCGGUAACCUUCUGGAUACUGUAUUCAAAGGCAACGGGUCUGCUGUCUGGAAGGGUAUUUUGCAUGGGCUCGAAUUACUAAAAAAAGGUAUUAUUUGGCGCGUUGGAAAUGGCUCCCUCAUACGGACGUGGAGAGACCCAUGGAUCCCUCGGCCAUAUUCGUAUAGGCCUAUUACAGCAAAGCGUAAU